UAGAAAGUUUGAGACAAUCAAAGAAAGAGAAAAAAAGAAGAAGAACAGAAGUCCUCAGAAAAUGUAGAUGAGAGCGGGUGACAAGAGCUAACCACAUUCAACAUCUUGGUAGUGGGACCAGAGAUUACCAAAUUAAACAUCUAAGUAGGGUAAAUAAAGG